GAUAAAGUUGGCCUUAUCCACAACUGGAAAUUGCUCAUUCCUUUGUUCCACAGAACUCACUUACCCUCCAAAUAAAAAAAAAACCAAACACAUUUAAUCAACACAGUGAGGGAAGUUCAUGCUCAAACUAACUACAUUUCUGAUCUCUGACAGCUGCUUUAUGUUGUUAAACCUUGUUAAUCCCAUUAAAAGAAUAAGCCACCAAAUGCAAUGCAUGUGUUAUUUUAUUAGACAAUAAAGGCUGCAGACAACAACUAAUUUUAUUAGGAUACAUUUAUUGUAGGACUCUUUAGGGAAAUUUUUUAAUGAAAGAUCAAACAGUCUCUUCCUGUUCUAGGUUUGUUCUCUGUCUUUACUCUGAGCUGAGGAAAUAAAAAGUACAGAGACUUGAAGCAGGGGGAGACUCCAAAGGUGUGAAAAUACAUCUCCCCAUAAUUCCAAAGCUGUCUGAUCUGCACUUUGUAGAUUUACAUUGACAUUUUUAUGCGAAAGUGUUACAUAUAAUGGCUUUAUUUCCCAACUACACUGCGUUCUCUGAAUGCAGGGCUACUUGUGGUUCCUAUAGUCUCUAAAAGUAGAACAGGAGCCAGAGCCUUCAGUUACCAAGCUCCUCUCUUGUGGAAUCAGCUUCCAGUUGUGGUUUGGGAGGCAGACACCAUCUCAAAUAUAAGAAUAGGCUUAAGACGUUCCUCUUUGAUAAAGCUUAUAUUUAGGGCUGGAUCAGGUGAGUCCUGAACCAUCCCUUAGUUAUGCUGCUAUAGGCCUAGACUAUCGGGGGAUUUCCCAUGGUGCACUGAGCUACUCUCUUCCUCUCUCUUUCUGCACUCAUUCAUGUCCCUUUAAUGCAUGUUACUAACUCCACUUCUUCCCCGGAGUUCUUGUGCUUUCUCGUCUCGCAGGUUCUCAUGGAUCCUGGUGGAGCCUCCUGCCAUGGUCCUGCUUGACUGCCAUUGCCAAUACUGUUGUUGCUGUGCACCUGUCUGUCUGUCUGUCGCUCUCUCUCUCUCUCUCUCUCUCUCUCACCCCAACUGGUCGAGACAGACGA